CAGUAGCCGCGGGAAUACGAAGGGUGCAAGCGUUAAUCGGAAUUACUGGGCGUAAAGCGCGCGUAGGUGGUUCAUUAAGUUGGAUGUGAAAGCCCUGGGCUCAACCUGGGAACUGCAUCCAAAACUGGUGAGCUAGAGUACGGUAGAGGGUAGUGGAAUUUCCUGUGUAGCGGUGAAAUGCGUAGAUAUAGGAAGGAACACCAGUGGCGAAGGCGACUACCUGGACUGAUACUGACACUGAGGUGCGAAAGCGUGGGGAGCAAACAGGAUUAGAUACCCGGGUAGUCCCUGUCUCUUAUAC
rnacentral:rRNA from 1 species